GAAGAGCGCCUAGCCUUCAGCAUGGGAGAGUGCUGCCAACAGAGACGGUUGUAAAUUGUGGGCAGAGAGAAAUUCUUUCUAAACUGAAGAGUGAGAAAGAGGAAACAAACCUUCUAAACUGGGAGGGAGAGAAAAUAUGCUUGUUGGGAAAAAAGAAUAGAGAGACCCACUUCUUGCUUAGGGGAAGGAGAAGAAACAUGUCUCUAAAGAGACUUCAGAAAUGGUGACUUCAGAAACCGAGAGAUGAUGGUGAGAGAGGAAGAGAAUUCCUUAAAAGAGGUGGACGCUAGAGCUCCGUACCCGAAAGUCAGACCCUCCGCUCCCAGGACUAGAAGACUGACGCUGAACUUCCUAAGACCAGGUGCCAAGUCUCAUCUACCUUGGUACAUUCAUCCCUGAGUACAACAUCCAGCACAGAGAAGACUCAAGAAAUGUUUGCUAAUGAAUGAAUGAUCUGGUAGAAAGAAAAAAGACUGGAGGUGUGACAACAGGAAAUUCAAAUGCUCCCCUGAGGAAAGAGAGAGAGAUGGUCCAGGAGACAGGAUCUGCGUUCACUUAGACAUGGCCUUACACUUGUUAUCCAGCCAAAGAUGACCCUGGACUCUCAUUUCCACAUCAUAGUGCUGGGAUUACAGCAAUGGAGAUGAUCACAGAAAACCACAAGUGGACACAAUGGACCGGGGGGAGCCCAGCUGUAAUGGACAUACCUACAUCACAGCUUCUGCAUCUAUGGCUCAGGAAAUGUUGAGGAAGAGCCGGGCAGAAAGAUUGUAAGAGCCAGAACACCAUGAAGUCAGGUGUGGAGCAGUGUCUACUAGGGAUGGCUUCACAAAGAAGACUGAACAGUGGCAGCAUCAAUGGACAUGCUAAUGUAGAAGGGGGAAAUUUGUGGAGUCCACCCCAAAGAACUGCAUGCAACUAAUGACUGCUGGGAAAGGGAGAAGUAGGCUCUUCCAGGGAUGAGCCAGCUUGUUGUUUGUCUAAUGAAGAGUGGCUAGCCCCAAAACCAUAUACAUACAGUUGAUAAAAGUGGAUUCAGUAGGUUGUAUUUACAUAUUUGUGCACACAUACACAUGUGUGUGCAUGCAACAAUAAUAA